GAUGAACGCUGGCGGCGUGCCUAAUACAUGCAAGUCGAGCGAACGGACGAGAAGCUUGCUUCUCUGAUGUUAGCGGCGGACGGGUGAGUAACACGUGGAUAACCUACCUAUAAGACUGGGAUAACUUCGGGAAACCGGAGCUAAUACCGGAUGAUAUUUUGAACCGCAUGGUUCAAAAGUGAAAGACGGUCUUGCUGUCACUUAUAGAUGGAUCCGCGCUGCAUUAGCUAGUUGGUAAGGUAACGGCUUACCAAGGCAACGAUGCAUAGCCGACCUGAGAGGGGGAUCGGCCACACGAGAGCGGAGCCAGGGUCCAGGCUCCUAAGGGAGGGAGCAGACGGGAAUCGGCCGCAAUGGGCGGGAACCUGACGGAGCAGCGGCGCGUGUGUGAUGAAGGUCUUCGGAGCGUAAAACUCUGUUAUUAGUGAAGAACAUAUGUGUAAGUAACUGUGCACAUCUUGACGGUACCUAAUCAGAAAGCCACGGCUAACUACGUG
rnacentral:rRNA from 1 species